GAUACUCAAAUUCAGAAUUUAAAUUUGAUACUUAAAUUUUAGUUACAAUAUAUCAUCUCAGCGGAGCUCCGGCGACAAAUACUUAUCAAAGGGCAUCGUUAUUAUAUAUCCGGAAAAAAUCGUUUAUUAAUAUAUCCCCUUCACAUGGUACUAUUAUUGUUGCUAUUUUUAUUUUUUCAUGGAGUUGAUUUGCCCAAAUUCCUGGGAGUGAAAUUAGUCACAAGAUUAACUUAAAUCAAGUGAAGGGAAAUCAGUUACCCUUGAUUUUAGCUAUAAUAGUUACAGAAAAAAAAAUAUUCUGUCAUUUAUAUUUAAGUAUCAUUUCUAUUUUAUAAAGUAUCCGAAAUUCUUAAAAAUAAGGGAUUUUUGGUAAAUAUUGAUAUUAUAGGGAUAGAAUGUAAUUUAUCAUUUACAGUAUGUCAUUUGCCUAAUUUUUACUUUCUUCUUUGCAGCGAAGAACACGUAAACUCGCAAACCCAGAAAAAUCGACCCAGAAGUCCUGUGCGCCGCAACUCCAGCAAAGAGUCGCGUGACCCUCUCCCUCUCCUUUAUCAUUUGUACGAAGAACCAGGUGUCUCGAUCUUGCACCUCCUUCGUCGUUUUCUCUCAAUACAGCGGCUCAAAUAGUUUUCCCGUAGAAGAAUCGGACAAGAAUUGUACAAUUUCCAGCUUUCAACACUUGUCCUCCAAAUAAAUUUCAAAUUUAGAAUUCAAAAUUUCAUCCAAAUCCUCGCCUGUUUUCCGCCCUAAAUCAACCCUAUUUUUUCAUCUUUUUAAGAUGGUUUUUGUCUUUAUUUUUUAAGGUUAGAGAGAGAGAGCACGAAAAUAAAAGGGAUACAGAGAGAGAGUUAGAAGAAAUAAUAGGAAUGAUCAAGCUUUAAGAGAUAAAUACAAGCAGAAAUUUCCAGCAACACUAUUAUAUAAAAACAUUUAGGAUAGUUUUGUUGGGAUCGAGAUUCUGGUUUAGUUCUUUAUUCUUUUUGUUCCAAGCUGUUUGUCGGAAUUAUAGGAAUCAUAUCGUGGUGGUGGAAGCUCGUUGUUCUUCUCGUGUUGUCUCCAUUUCGCUCCAUUAAGAAAGAACUCGUUCCUUCCCUAUGCAUUUCGGAUGGGUCAUAAAGGCCCCAAUUCUAUUUUAUCCGAGUCAGUCAGCUAAAAAUGGGCGUACAAAUUUCGAAGUUCGAAGAAAUCAAUGAACAGGACAAGAAGUUGAAGAUUUUGAGCCAAGAAGCCCCAAAUUUAUUUUUCUAAAUUUGUAUUUUGAAUUUUUUGGGCCUAAGCCCUUGUCCCUUUUAUUACUUACUAGUUCUAGAAACGUGCCUUGCACGUUUGACCUCUGUUAUUGUUAUUAUUUAUAUAGUCCCAAGAUAUAAAAUUGCUCAAUAUUGUCUGAUGUACUCCUAUAUAUCUUUUUGUGCAUAUAAAAUAAACUUGGUUUAGUGUUUA